rnacentral:lncRNA from 1 species
UGAAAUCUCCUAGAACUAAUGAUGUGUAUAGUCCUGCUGCACUGUGCAAGAUUAAGAUAAGAAUGUUGUUUGGUUUAGUAUACAUAGCAACAGUACUAUAAAUACAUCAUAUUUUCUAGUGUAUUUUUCAUACUAAGCUGAUGUAAAUUUUAACUAAAUCAAAUGUAAUUUGCCAUUUUUUACCUGGUAACAAAAGUUUUGUUCUUCUUCUUGUGAAUUCCUUAUCUGUUCCAUCAGCAAACCUAUAUAUCCUCCCAUCAAAAACAUAUCUUCACUGUAGAUCGUGUUAAAUUCUCC